rnacentral:rRNA from 1 species
UCUUUCCUCCGGGGCGCCGCAGUGGGGGAUCUUGCACAAUGGGCGCAAGCCUGAUGCCUCGCCUCCGCGUGCUUUCCUACGGUUUUCGGAUUGUAAACCUCUGUCGAGGGGGACGAAGGAAGUGACGGUACCCCUUGAGGAAGCCACGGCUAACUACGUGCCAGCAGCCGCGGUAAUACGUAGGUGGCAAGCGUUGUCCGGAAUUACUGGGUGUAAAGGGAGCGUAGGCGGGAAUGCAAGUUGAAUGUAUAAACGGUCGGCUCAACCGGCCGAAGGGUUCAAAACUGCGGAUCUUGAGUGGAGUA